rnacentral:rRNA from 1 species
AAGGUUAAGCCUCACGGUUCAUUAGUACCGGUUAGCUCAACGCAUCGCUGCGCUUACACACCCGGCCUAUCAACGUCGUCGUCUUCAACGUUCCUUCAGGACCCUUAAAGGGUCAGGGAGAACUCAUCUCGGGGCAAGUUUCGUGCUUAGAUGCUUUCAGCACUUAUCUCUUCCGCAUUUAGCUACCGGGCAGUGCCAUUGGCAUGACAACCCGAACACCAGUGAUGCGUCCACUCCGGUCCUCUCGUACUAGGAGCAGCCCCCCUCAGUUCUCCAGCGCCCACGGCAGAUAGGGACCGAACUGUCUCACGACGUUCUAAACCCAGCUCGCGUACCACUUUAAAUGGCGAACAGCCAUACCCUUGGGACCUACUUCAGCCCCAGGAUGUGAUGAGCCGACAUCGAGGUGCCAAACACCGCCGUCGAUAUGAACUCUUGGGCGGUAUCAGCCUGUUAUCCCCGGAGUACCUUUUAUCCGUUGAGCGAUGGCCCUUCCAUUCAGAACCACCGGAUCACUAUGACCUGCUUUCGCACCUGCUCGCGCCGUCACGCUCGCAGUCAAGCUGGCUUAUGCCAUUGCACUAACCUCCUGAUGUCCGACCAGGAUUAGCCAACCUUCGUGCUCCUCCGUUACUCUUUAGGAGGAGACCGCCCCAGUCAAACUACCCACCAGACACUGUCCGCAACCCGGAUCACGGGUCCACGUUAGAACAUCAAACAUUAAAGGGUGGUAUUUCAAGGUCGGCUCCAUGCAGACUGGCGUCCACACUUCAAAGCCUCCCACCUAUCCUACACAUCAAGGCUCAAUGUUCAGUGUCAAGCUAUAGUAAAGGUUCACGGGGUCUUUCCGUCUUGCCGCGGGUACACUGCAUCUUCACAGCGAGUUCAAUUUCACUGAGUCUCGGGUGGAGACAGCCUGGCCAUCAUUACGCCAUUCGUGCAGGUCGGAACUUACCCGACAAGGAAUUUCGCUACCUUAGGACCGUUAUAGUUACGGCCGCCGUUUACCGGGGCUUCGAUCAAGAGCUUCGCUUGCGCUAACCCCAUCAAUUAACCUUCCGGCACCGGGCAGGCGUCACACCGUAUACGUCCACUUUCGUGUUUGCACAGUGCUGUGUUUUUAAUAAACAGUUGCAGCCAGCUGGUAUCUUCGACUGAUUUCAGCUCCACGAGCAAGUCGCUUCACCUACGUAUCAGCGUGCCUUCUCCCGAAGUUACGGCACCAUUUUGCCUAGUUCCUUCACCCGAGUUCUCUCAAGCGCCUUGGUAUUCUCUACCUGACCACCUGUGUCGGUUUGGGGUACGAUUUGAUGUUACCUGAUGCUUAGAGGCUUUUCCUGGAAGCAGGGCAUUUGUUGCUUCAGCACCGUAGUGCCUCGUCAUCACGCCUCGGCCUUGAUUUUCCGGAUUUGCCUGGAAAACCAGCCUACACGCUUAAACCGGGACAACCGUCGCCCGGCCAACAUAGCCUUCUCCGUCCCCCCUUCGCAGUAACACCAAGUACAGGAAUAUUAACCUGUUUCCCAUCGACUACGCCUUUCGGCCUCGCCUUAGGGGUCGACUCACCCUGCCCCGAUUAACGUUGGACAGGAACCCUUGGUCUUCCGGCGAGCGGGCUUUUCACCCGCUUUAUCGUUACUUAUGUCAGCAUUCGCACUUCUGAUACCUCCAGCAUACCUCACAGCACACCUUCACAGGCUUACAGAACGCUCCCCUACCCAACAACGCAUAAGCGUCGCUGCCGCAGCUUCGGUGCAUGGUUUAGCCCCGUUACAUCUUCCGCGCAGGCCGACUCGACCAGUGAGCUAUUACGCUUUCUUUAAAUGAUGGCUGCUUCUAAGCCAACAUCCUGGCUGUCUGGGCCUUCCCACAUCGUUUCCCACUUAACCAUGACUUUGGGACCUUAGCUGGCGGUCUGGGUUGUUUCCCUCUUCACGACGGACGUUAGCACCCGCCGUGUGUCUCCCGUGAUAACAUUCUCCGGUAUUCGCAGUUUGCAUCGGGUUGGUAAGUCGGGAUGACCCCCUUGCCGAAACAGUGCUCUACCCCCGGAGAUGAAUUCACGAGGCGCUACCUAAAUAGCUUUCGGGGAGAACCAGCUAUCUCCCGGUUUGAUUGGCCUUUCACCCCCAGCCACAAGUCAUCCGCUAAUUUUUCAACAUUAGUCGGUUCGGUCCUCCAGUUAGUGUUACCCAACCUUCAACCUGCCCAUGGCUAGAUCACCGGGUUUCGGGUCUAUACCCUGCAACUUAACGCCCAGUUAAGACUCGGUUUCCCUUCGGCUCCCCUAUUCGGUUAACCUUGCUACAGAAUAUAAGUCGCUGACCCAUUAUACAAAAGGUACGCAGUCACACGCCUAAGCGUGCUCCCACUGCUUGUACGUACACGGUUUCAGGUUCUUUUUCACUCCCCUCGCCGGGGUUCUUUUCGCCUUUCCCUCACGGUACUGGUUCACUAUCGGUCAGUCAGGAGUAUUUAGCCUUGGAGGAUGGUCCCCCCAUAUUCAGACAGGAUACCACGUGUCCCGCCCUACUCAUCGAGCUCACAGUAUGUGCAUUUUUGUGUACGGGGCUGUCACCCUGUAUCGCACGCCUUUCCAGACGCUUCCACUAACACACACACUGAUUCAGGCUCUGGGCUGCUCCCCGUUCGCUCGCCGCUACUGGGGGAAUCUCGGUUGAUUUCUUUUCCUCGGGGUACUUAGAUGUUUCAGUUCCCCGGUUCGCCUCAUUAACCUAUGGAUUCAGUUAAUGAUAGUGUGACGAAUCACACUGGGUUUCCCCAUUCGGAAAUCGCCGGUUAUAACGGUUCAUAUCACCUUACCGACGCUUAUCGCAGAUUAGCACGUCCUUCAUCGCCUCUGACUGCCAGGGCAUCCACCGUGUACGCUUAGUCGCUUAA